AUACGUAGGGGGCGAGCGUUGUCCGGAAUGAUUGGGCGUAAAGGGCGCGUAGGGGGCCGCUUAAGUCUGGAGUGAACGUCCUGUUUUCAAGAUGGGAAUUGCUUUGGAUACUGGGGGGCUUGAGUGCAGGAGAGGUUAUCGGUAUUCCCGGUGUAGCGGUGAAAUGCGUAGCGAUCGGGAGGAACACCAGUGGCGAAGGCGGGUAACUGGACUGCAACUGACGCUGAGGCGCGAAAGUGUGGGGAGCAAACAGGAUUAGAUACCCUGGUAGUCCACACUGUAAACGAUGAAUGCUAGGUGUAAGAGGUAUCGACCCCUUUUGUGCCGGAGUCAACACAAUAAGCAUUCCGCCUGGGGAGUACGGCCGCAAGGUUGAAACUCAAAUGAAUUGACGGGG
rnacentral:rRNA from 1 species